GAUAUACUUGAAAUCGAAGAAUGGGUUUGGGUUUUCGAGGAUGGGUGAAGAACCAUCAUCAUAUCAAGACUUCCACAGUUAUGUUUUUGUUGAUGACCACCAGUUGGAUUUAUGCCGAGCAACAAACAGGGGACACAUCGUAUUGACCACCUAAUAAUCAGGUACAAUUAACGACAACUCAUAAGACCAACACAUACCCUCACGAUAAUCACCCUUCAUUUCUGAAUGUUGAUCUCCAACAAGACCAACUGGUCAGUUUGUUCCACUAGCCUACCAUUAUGUGGGCUUCAUUCGUGUUAAUUAGAGAGAUAUUUGGCAUCUGGGUCGGGUCGAAAUCUCUUGCACAGUCUUCUUCUUUCUUAAGCGAUCUGAAAUGGUUUGUGGGACAGUUCUUAUGCAGUUAUAGCACCCUACCACUCGAUACGCAGCAUUCAUGGAAAGCAAGCUAAUACUACAACAUCAUGAACUGAUCUUCUUCUUCAAGGCAAGGCAAAGCGACAUGAAUAUAGAAAAUGUACCCGCUGCUAACAUCCAAGGUGUGUGCAAAAGUAUUCGGGGCAUCAGGGGGUUUGCCAUCACUACAUCCUGUGGUGAAACAGGGCCCCUAUUACUGUUGUUGCCUCUACGGUCCAAGCCAAGAUUAAGGACAUCACUAACAACUCACCAGCAUAAAAGUUCCCAAUGGAAAUAAAGCACAGGUCAAAUAGGAAGGUAUUACUCUCUUUUCCUUAAAUGAGAUCAUUGGCACCAUCACAGAAGAGCUGAGCUGGUACUUAAGGCAAGACAGGAGGAGGGCGGUUCUUAAACAUGGUGGGCAGCCACGUGACACUUCUCUGUUCUAAAAGUUCAAUCAAAGUUGGACUUUCAAUAUAUAGUAAAUAAUAAUUCAUGGGGCAAUGCAUUGAUAACUUCUUAUACAGUUUUAGUGAUGUAUCAUGUGAACUAUAUUUAUACAACUCCUUUCAAAUGUAUUGGUUAAAAUGAAUCUUCACAAGAAGAGGAUGGAGAACAAUCGCCUUGCUACGCCCGAGCGCCUAGGCGCAUGCGCCUUUUGCGCUUUUUACAACUAUGACCCAUUCAAAAAAUACCCGUUUCCCAACACGUGUUUUACACAGGUGAAAUUACAUUGCACAGAAAAGGCCUUAAGGUCAAAAGGCAAUGGUUAAGAACACCGGUGCUAGAGGGUUAAGAGCCAUACUUGAAACGCUUCUAACCGACGACGCUAUGUAUGAGAUUCCAGAUGUCAAGACGGGAAAUGAUCGAUGAAGAGUCGGUUCGGUCAGUUGAUAAACCGGGAUGUGGGGGAAAAAUUCUUCGUGGUGGUGACGGUGCAUUAGAUGAUUGAUUAUCUAGCAAAGACCAAGUGUAAGGAACAAGAAGAGGCACAUUAUUCCCUACAUACAUAAACUUGAUGCAUCAGGCGCGAGAUGUCUCAGCUACAUUGGUUCUCACCAAUGAAAUGGAGGAGGAAAAUAAGACGUGUCACGUCCAUAAACGUCUUGAAAUGAGUGGAUACUAUGGUCGAAUCAGUGACCUUGAGCUUGCUGUGUAUGUCAUAGACACUCAAGAAAAUCGUCAUAGAUCCUUGCUGUCAGGCGUUUGGGGGACGUUUAGGUAAAGAGGACUGACUGUUUGAAGAGACUCGAUCUUCCGCCAACCACUAUUGCCUCCAGGUGUGGAUAUGGCGGCGAUACUGUAAUUCGCCACUUAAGUACAGGAAUUACUGUUGCAUGAUGUGUUAUGUCGAAGAAAAUGGGAGCAAGGUACAUCUUGUACUGCUUGAUUUAUCCCUCUUAAAAAGUUCCUGCUUCUAUUUACAUGUAUGUAUGUAUAAACUAUUGUAGAAGCUUGUUAAUGCUUUUAGAUUCUGUUCAAAUAAUGUCUACAAAGAAAUCAGAAUGUAUUAAAUGAAUUGGAACAGUCAUGUUUAAUAUACGAAGGU
rnacentral:lncRNA from 1 species